CCUACGGGGGACAGCAGUGGGGAAUAUUGGACAAUGGGCGCAAGCCUGAUCCAGCCAUGCCGCGUGUGUGAUGAAGGCCUUAGGGUUGUAAAGCUCUUUCACCGGAGAAGAUAAUGACGGUAUCCGGAGAAGAAGCCCCGGCUAACUUCGUGCCAGCAGCCGCGGUAAUACGAAGGGGGCUAGCGUUGUUCGGAAUUACUGGGCGUAAAGCGCACGUAGGCGGAUAUUUAAGUCAGGGGUGAAAUCCCAGAGCUCAACUCUGGAACUGCCUUUGAUACUGGGUAUCUUGAGUAUGGAAGAGGUAAGUGGAAUUGCGAGUGUAGAGGUGAAAUUCGUAGAUAUUCGCAGGAACACCAGUGGCGAAGGCGGCUUACUGGUCCAUUACUGACGCUGAGGUGCGAAAGCGUGGGGAGCAAACAGGAUUAGAUACCCGAGUAGUC
rnacentral:rRNA from 1 species